rnacentral:rRNA from 1 species
AUGAGUUAAGUAUAAACCCCUUUACAAGUAUCAAUUGGAGGGCAAGUCUGGUGCCAGCAGCCGCGGUAAUUCCAGCUCCAAUAGCGUAUAUUAAAGUUGUUGCAGUUAAAAAGCUCGUAGUUGGAUUUCUGUUAAUAAUUUAUAUGGUAUUUUAACGAUAUUAUAUAAUAUUAACAUAAUUCAUAUUACUAUAUAUUUAGUAUAUGAAAUUUUACUUUGAGAAAAUUAGAGUGCUUAAAGCAGGCAUUUGCCUUGAAUACUCCAGCAUGGAAUAAUAUAAAAGAUUUUUAUCUUUUUUAUUGGUUCUAAGAUAAAAAUAAUGAUUAAUAGGGACAGUUGGGGGCAUUUGUAUUUAACAGUCAGAGGUGAGAUUCUUAGAUUUGUUAAAGACAAACUAAUGCGAAAGCAUUUGCCAAGGAUGUUUUCAUUAAUCAAGAACGAAAGUUAGGGGAUCGAAGACGAUCAGAUACCGUCGUAGU